GACGAACGCUGGCGGCGUGCCUAAUACAUGCAAGUUGAGCGCUGAAGGUUGGUACUUGUACCAACUGGAUGAGCAGCGAACGGGUGAGUAACGCGUGGGGAAUCUGCCUUUGAGCGGGGGACAACAUUUGGAAACGAAUGCUAAUACCGCAUAAAAACUUUAAACACAAGUUUUAAGUUUGAAAGAUGCAAUUGCAUCACUCAAAGAUGAUCCCGCGUUGUAUUAGCUAGUUGGUGAGGUAGAGGCUCACCAAGGCGAUGAUACAUAGCCGACCUGAGAGGGUGAUCGGCCACAUUGGGACUGAGACCCGGCCCAAACUCAUACGGGAGGCAGCAGUAGGGAAUCUUCGGCAAUGGACGAAAGUCUGACCGAGCAACGCCGCGUGAGUGAAGAAGGUUUUCGGAUCGUAAAACUCUGUUGGUAGAGAAGAACGUUGGUGAGAGUGGAAAGCUCAUCAAGUGACGGUAACUACCCAGAAAGGGACGGCUAACUACGUG
rnacentral:rRNA from 1 species